CUCCAGUGGAAAAGGUGUUCCUAGGUAAAACGGAGUUUAGUGGAGAACAUACCAGAAUGCAAAGUAGCUUGUGAAAAGCGUUACCAAGGCCGAACUUUCAACAAAGAUACUCCUGCUAAUGUUGCUGAUCAUUUGAAGAAAGUGUCGUCUUUACAAAGCAGGCCAGAUGAUGUUUUAUUGUCUACCUAUCCAACAUAAGGUUGAUGUAACGAAAUUCACCACGGGAAACGGUGAGAAGUGAAUCCAUAUGAACUGGAAAAGGACGAGUUUAUCUCUGCAUUAUGAAGACUAUGAGGAAUUAUGUCUCGUUAAAGAUGCAUUAGAUUGACAACUUCACCAUCUAUACGAGCAUGUACCCGAGCCGACUACUACCAACUCCAGAACAUUAUCAGAAUCUGCAGCUGCAGCUUUGCCUGAAUCUACAGCUAACGCCGAUACCUACUCCAUUGUUACCUAGGCCUUUACUAUAGACAUCUUUGCAAAUGCCACCAGUGGAGGGGUCCAGUACGGUACCAUACCAUCAUCGAAGGCUUGUUAUCCUCAAAUAAAUCUCAACAGACGACUGUCACCGCACUAUCAGGCGCAGCGUCACUAUCCAUACAGCAAGCAGUAAAUGGUUAGUUCUAUCUAUACGAUAUGUAAAUCUUAAAAUUGAUCAUUUAAUUUUUAGAAUAAUUCUGAUUUAUCUAAAAAAAAUGAAACCUUUAAAAACAAUUGUCAUCACAUGUUCAUUGAUAUAUAGUCAUAUAGAUGAAAUUAAAGAAAAUUAUAUAAAACUAAGUGUAUACUAGAUAGAAGAGGACAUUUACUCCAAAGGGACAAUCUUAGACUUCUUAUGCAUGCAUUUGUAAAGGGGAUGUUUUGUAGAUACCUACAUUGAAGACCAUGCAUAUGUAUCAUUUGAAAUGUAACCAUGAACAAUAUCGGAUAAAGCAUUUUUAAUAUAUACAAACGUAUGUGUCUUUCUAUUUGGGGUAUGUAUUGACCGACAUAAGUGUAACGGGAGUAGCUCUUACGAUAAAGCUAGCAUUUCGACUUUUCAAUUGGCAACAAUAGCUAUAAGCUAAGAUGUACAACAUUUAAUUAAUAAGCUUGUAUUUCGACAUUACGGCAAAUAUGUACAUGCACAUUGUUUUUGUAUUAAAAUCAUAAUCAACACUGUUACCAGUACAUUACUUUUUUUUUUAUUCUACAAUCAUCGGUUCAAUAAUGAUGAUGUGCCAACGUUACACAAUUUUGUUUUACGUAGUGUUUGUCGUCAAAACUACAAAGACCGGCUUUUCUGAUAGUGUACACAUGUAAGUCAUGUCUGUCACUUCUGAUGGAGGUCAACUAUC